CCAAAAGCUGGCGACCGGCGCACGGGUGAGUAACACGUAUCCAACCUGCCUCAUACUCGGGGAUAGCCUUUCGAAAGAAAGAUUAAUAUCCGAUAGCAUAUAUUUCCCGCAUGGGUUUUAUAUUAAAGAAAUUCGGUAUGAGAUGGGGAUGCGUUCCAUUAGUUUGUUGGGGGGUAACGGCCCACCAAGACUACGAUGGAUAGGGGUUCUGAGAGGAAGGUCCCCCACAUUGGAACUGAGACACGGUCCAA
rnacentral:rRNA from 1 species